rnacentral:lncRNA from 1 species
AUGGAAAAAGCAAGAGAGUUCCAGAAAAACAUCUAUUUCUGCUUUAUUGACUAUGCCAAAGCCUUUGACUGUGUGGAUCACAACAAACUGUGGAAAAUUCUGAAAGAGAUGGGAAUACCAGACCACCUGACCUGCCUCUUGAGAAAUCUGUAUGCAGGUCAGGAAGCAACAGUUAGAACUGGACAUGGAACAACAGACUGGUUCCAAAUCGGAAAAGGAGUACGUCAAGGCUGUAUAUUGUCACCCUGCUUAUUUAACUUCUAUGCAGAGUACAUCAUGAGAAACGCUGGACUGGAAGAAACACAAGCUGGAAUCAAGAUUGCUGGGAGAAAUAUCAAUAACCUCAGAUAUGCAGAUGACACCACCCUUAUGGCAAAAAGUGAAGAGGAGCUAAAAAGCCUCUUGAUGAAAGUGAAAGAGGAGAGUGAAAAUGUUGGCUUAAAGCUCAACAUUCAGAAAACGAAGAUCAUGGCAUCUGGUCCCAUCAUUUCAUGGGAAAUAGAUGGGGAAACAGUGGAAACAGUGUCAGACUUUAUUUUGGGGGGCUCCAAAAUCACUGCAGAUGGUGACUGCAGCCAUGAAAUUAAAAGACGCUUACUCCUUGGAAGAAAAGUUAUGAGCAACCUAGAUAGCAUAUUCAAAAGCAGAGACAUUACUUUGCCGACUAAGGUCCAUCUAGUCAAGGCUAUGGUUUUUCCUGUGGUCAUAUAUGGAUGUGAUAGUUGGACUGUGAAGAAGGCUGAGCGCCGAAGAAUUGAUGCUUUUGAACUGUGGUGUUGGAGAAGACUCUUGAGAGUCCCUUGGGCUGCAAGGAGAUCCAACCAGUCCAUUCUGAAGGAGAUCAACCCUGGGAUUUCUUUGGAAGGAAUGAUGCUAAAGCUGAAGCCCCAGUACUUUGGCCACCUCAUGCGAAGAGUUGACUCAUUGGAAAAAACUCUGAUGCUGGGAGGGAUUGGGGGCAGGAGGAGAAGAGGACGACUGAGGAUGAGACAGCUGGAUGGCAUCAUGAAGUCGAUGGGCGUGAGUCUGAGUGAACUCCAGGAGAUGGUGAUGGACAGGGAGGCCUGGCGUGCUGCGAUUCAUAGGGUCACAAAGAGUCGGACACGACUGAGCGACUGA